rnacentral:lncRNA from 1 species
CGGCAAGGAUAUUUACGGAAAAACCUACUCAUCUCUGCUUUUGUUUCUACUGAAGAUUUCAGCUACAUCUCUGGCUUCUGGAAGAUGACUUUUGGAUCCCAACAGGUUUGGCUGAUGACCCCUGGGCUUCCAGAAAUCACAUGUACUAGUCAGUGUACAGUAGAGUGAUUCAACACCUCCAGACAUCGCCCAGUGUUCAUCCUGACAAGGGACUCGUGAAUCCAUCACUUACUUUACCUCGCCCCCCAACCGCCUCCCCGCUGGUAACCCUCAGUUUGUUCUCGACAGUUAAGAGUCGUUUGCUUGGUUUGUGUGUCUCUCUCCCUUUUUUCCUCAACUCAUUUGUUUCUUAAAUUCCACAUGAGUGAAAUCGUAUAUUUGUCUUUCUGUGACUUAUUUCGCUUAGCAUUAUACUGCCCAGUUCCAU